GAGAGAAAGGCGACUGUUGGUCCUCCAAGGGCGCUGUCGCUUUAAAUCUGCCAUGAUUGACAGCCUGUGGAGGACCAACAUCUAUGGGAGCGACUGUUGGUCCUCCAAGGGCGCUGUCGCUUUAAAUCCACCAUGAUUGACAGCCUGUGGAGGACCAACAUCUAUCGGAGCGACUGUUGGUCCUCCAAGGGCGCUGUCCCUUUAAAUCCGCUGGGAUUCACAGACUGUGGAGGACUAAGGUUUGUGGGAGCGACUGUUGGUCCUCCAAGGGCGCUGUCGCUUUAAAUCUGUCACCUUUAACACCCUGUGGAGGACCAACAUCUAUGGGAGCGACUGUUGGUCCUCCAAGGGCGCUGUCGCUUUAAAUCCAUCACAUUUGACAGCCUCAGGAGGACCAAAGGUUGUGGGAGCGACUGUUGGUCCUCCAAGGGCGCUGUCGCUUUAAAUCCGCCAUGUUUGACAUCCUGUGGAGGACUAAAGGUUGUGGGAGCGACUGUUGGUCCUCCAAGGGCGCUGUCGCUUUAAAUCCGCCAUGUUUGACAUCCUGUGGAGGACCAAAGGUUGUGGGAGUGACUGUUGGUCCUCCAAGGGCGCUGUCGCUUUAAAUCCGCCAUGUUUGACAGCCUGUGGAGGACCAAUAUCUAUGGGAGCGACUGUUGGUCCUCCAAGGGCACUGUCCCUUUAAAUCCGCUGGGAUUCACAGACUGUGGAGGACUAAGGUUUUACAGCAGCCUGAGGUCCAAGGUCCGCAGCGGAGGCCCCAAUUAACUAAUUAGCAGAUCGGCGAGAGCCGGAGCUUCCGUCCGCCGCGGCGGCCGGCGCCGUCUGGAGGGCGGGAAACGGCGGCUGUGAGGGCCCUUCCGGGAGGCGGGGCUUUGCGGGGGUGAUUGA